rnacentral:lncRNA from 1 species
AUAAAAAUAUUUAAUAAAAUAAACUAUUUUCUUGUAAAAUAAUUUUUAUAAAACUAUCGGUACAUAAUUCUUAUAGCGUAAAAGAUAAUUAUAUUCAUAUAUACUAUAAAGCAAAUAACCAAAGUAUAAAAUUUCUUUUACAGUGACACGUGGGCCCACAUCUAUCCAAAAUGCAUCGAAAGCUGGAAACCUACAGCUUUUACCGAUUCGAGUCCAAAUGAAGGUCCUUGUCAAAGUCAGCUAACUAUGGAAUUCCCCGAGCCUGAAAUGUGAGGAAAUGAGGGUGGUGAGAUUAUAAAAU